rnacentral:tRNA from 1 species
GGACUUGUGGUGUAGUGGUUAUCACGUCUCGUUUACAAUCAAGUAGACACAGCCGUCGCACACUUGUGCGUUGGGCGCUCCGAGAAGGCCGCAGGUUCGAGCCCUGCCAAGUUCA